UGCGUAGGCGGCUUUUUAAGUCGGAUGUGAAAUCCCUGAGCUUAACUUAGGAAUUGCAUUCGAUACUGGUUGGCUAGAGUGUGGGAGAGGAUGGUAGAAUUCCAGGUGUAGCGGUGAAAUGCGUAGAGAUCUGGAGGAAUACCGAUGGCGAAGGCAGCCAUCUGGCCUAACACUGACGCUGAUGUGCGAAAGCGUGGGGAUCAAACAGGAUUAGAUACCCGCGUA
rnacentral:rRNA from 1 species